GAAGACCACUCUCCAAGCCUAAGUACUCCUCAGUGACCGAUAGUGAACAAGUACCGUGAGGGAAAGGUGAAAAGACAACCCCGAACAAAGGGGAAUGAAAUAGACCUGAAACCAAACGCCUACAAGCAGUCGGAGCAGAACAUGCGCAAGCAUGGGUUUGUGACGGCGUACCUCUUGCAUAAUGAGUCAGCGAGUUCGUUUAUGUAAGCAAGCUUAAGCCGAUAGGUGGAGGCGCAAGCGAAAGCGAGUCUUAAUAGGGCGAUAGUUACAUGGAUGAGACCCGAAACCUAGUGAUCUAGCCAUGGGCAGGCUGAAGGUGCGGUAAAACGUACUGGAGGGCCGAACCCACCACUGUUGCAAUAGUGGGGGGAUGACCUGUGGUUAGGGGGUGAAAGGGCUAAUCAAACUAGGAAAUAUCUGGUUCUCCGCGAAAUCUAUUUAGGUAGAGCGUCAUGUAUAACCAUCGGGGGUAGA
rnacentral:rRNA from 1 species